rnacentral:misc_RNA from 1 species
UCCUGGUUAACCCAGGCAGUCUCACUAGAGUUCCCAUCCGAAAUGCUGGCAACUAGUGAUAAGGGUUGCGCUCGUUGCUGGACUUAACCAAACACCUCACGGCACGAGCUGACGACAGCCAUGCAGCACCUGUGCAGCAGCCCCGAAGGGAAGCACCGUUUCUGGUGCGGUCUACUGCAUGUCAAGCCUGGGUAAGGUUCUUCGCGUUGCAUCGAAUUAAACCACAUACUCCACUGCUUGUGCGGGUCCCCGUCAAUUCUUUUGAGUUUCAGCCUUGCGACUGUACUCCUCAGGCGGUAUACUUAUCGCGUUAGCUACGGCACAAUCGGGGUUGAGUCCAAUUACACCAAGUAUACAUUGUUUACAGCUAGGACUAC